UUCCUGGAAGUCCAGUGGUUAGGACUUGGCACUUUUGCUGUUGUUGCCCAGAUUCAAUCCCUGGUCGGGGAA
rnacentral:tRNA from 1 species